CUUGUUUGUUGAGCUCUAACAACGAGACCAAGUAAAAUGUACUGUGGUUCCACUGGCAAAGUUCUCUGUGCUCUCAGUGAGUCAGCUGUGGUCACUAUGGAGUCUUUAGGUAUUGUUCUUGUAGUUGCCAUAGAACUCAGAUGCAUGUUCUCUGUUUGGCUCCAUGGAUUUUCUUCAUGGCUGAUGGCAAAGGGAAGGCAGCCAGGUCCAUCCCAGGCCACAGAUAAAGCUUCAGACAUCAUUUCCAGUGAGAAAAGCUAUGGGAGAGUGAAAAGAAAGAAGAAAGAGGAGUUCCCUUGGCAGAUAAGAAACACAGAGAAGCAAGUUAGGUGGGCAGGCGGUUUCUAAGAAAGAGGAGAUACGUUAUGAAAAUCCAGCUGCUUACUACAAGCUCAUCAGAUUACACCAGGCAGCCUUCUCAGAAGCAGGCAGAUCCAAUGAAUUCUCUGGAAAACACACCUGCUUCUCCACACACAGAUAGACAGAACGUGAAGGGACAGAAGCAGUUUGCAGACCACCCCGUUACCGUUCAUUCUGUUGCAGUGGAUUUCGCUUCCCCUGGGUCAAUACUGAGACUGAUAAAGAAUGACAAGGAAAUAGACAUUCAUUAAAAAAAAAUUUUACAACCAUUUGUCUCCUGAAUGUCGAAAAGACACUUCAAAGGUGUUAGAUACAUUCUGUACUGUAUUUCAGUGAUUCUAAGAAAUAUAUUCCACCAUAUUUUAACACCUUACACAUUGGGAUAUGGCUUCUGCUGGUGGGGAACAUAGAUAACUGGUUGGUUUUCCCUGUCUUAAUGAUAGUAUCUUUCUUUAUUUUGUACCAGAGAUCAAACUCAGGACCUCGAGCUUGCCAGGAAUGCACUGUUCUGCUGAGCUACAUCCCCAGUCCUCUUAAUGAUAAUAUCUUACAACCCAUACUAUCUUAGAUUCAAUAAAUAGUAAAGAAAUUACAAGACUAGGAUUUAUCACCUGGAGUGCAUGAUUACUUCAUUACUUUUUGGCCAACAAUAAUUUUUACCUGAAAGAUCCAAGCAAUUAAGGUAAU
rnacentral:lncRNA from 1 species